rnacentral:rRNA from 1 species
UACAGAGGUCUCAAGCGUUGUUCGGAUUCAUUGGGCGUAAAGGGUGCGUAGGCGGCUCGGUAAGUCGGGUGUGAAAUCUCGGAGCUUAACUCCGAAACUGCAUUCGAUACUGCCGUGCUUGAGGACUGGAGGGGAGACUGGAAUUUACGGUGUAGCGGUGAAAUGCGUAGAUAUCGUAAGGAAGACCAGUGGCGAAGGCGGGUCUCUGGACAGUUCCUGACGCUGAGGCACGAAGGUCAGGGGAGCAAACGGG